rnacentral:rRNA from 1 species
AACGUAGGGGGGCUAGCGUUGCUCGGAAUCACUGGGCGUAAAGUCGCACGUAGGCGGAUCUUUAAGUCAGGGGUGAAAUCCCGGAGCUCAACUCCGGAACUGCCUUUGAUACUGAAGAUCUUGAGUUCGGGAGAGGUGAGUGGAACUGCGAGUGUAGAGGUGAAAUUCGUAGAUAUUCGCAAGAACACCAGUGGCGAAGGCGGCCAACUGGGCCACUACUGACGCUGAGGUGCGAAAGCGUGGGGAGCAAACAGG